CUACGUGCCAGCAGCCGCGGUAAUACGUAGGGGGCAAGCGUUAUCCGGAUUCAUUGGGCGUAAAGCGCUCGUAGGCGGUCUGUUAGGUCGGGAGUUAAAUCCGGGGGCUCAACCCCCGCUCGCUCCCGAUACCGGCAGACUUGAGUUUGGUAGGGGAAGGUGGAAUUCCUAGUGUAGCGGUGGAAUGCGCAGAUAUUAGGAAGAACACCAGUGGCGAAGGCGGCCUUCUGGGCCAUAACUGACGCUGAGGAGCGAAAGCUAGGGGAGCAAACAGGAUUAGAUACCCUGGUAGUCCUAGCCGUAAACGAUGGACACUAGGUGUGGGGGAAUAUUUCUUCCGUGCCGCAGCUAACGCAUUAAGUGUCCCGCCUGGGGAGUACGGCCGCAAGGCUAAAACUCAAAGGAAUUGACGGGGGCCCGCACAAGCAGCGGAGCAUGUGGUUUAAUUCGAAGCAACGCGAAGAACCUUACCAGGGCU
rnacentral:rRNA from 1 species